AGCCCCUCCCCCUAUGAAGGCGGACGAGUUCUAGAAGCAGACCUCUGCCUCGUGGGCGCGCGCGCGCGCCGAAUUUCCAGUCGCAUUUGGUGACGCCAUUUUUAUAUAUUAAUACAUAGAGACCUUUUAUUAUUUUCCCUCUCAGAUUAAGGCGGCGAGGAGCUCGCGUGGACUCGGUUACCUCAAGUUACAGCCGGAUUUCCGCCAGCGAAUCCUCAUGGUGUGGGGUUGAGACUGCUGGUUGCUACGCGAACACCUCCCCCUUCAGUUUAUCUCCCUCUCCUCGCGGCCGCGGGGGAUCGUGGGUAAACAUGGCGGCGGGCGGCAGCAGCAACAAGGCCUCUGUGGGGACCCUGGAAGCGUCUCUGGACCGAAAACUACAGUCCGUCAGCAACACCAUGGACUCCAUCCAAAACAUGUCCUCCUGGUGCAUCGACAACAAGAAACACUACAACACCGUCGUGCAGCAUUGGCUCAAGUGGUUGCGCAGAUCUGGAUUCAGUCACAGACUUAACCUGUUUUACCUGGCAAACGACAUCAUUCAGAACUGCAAAAGGAAAAAUGCCAUUGUGUAUCGGGAGGCAUUUGCAGAAGUUUUACCUGAGGCUGCUUCUCUAGUAAAGGAUGGAUCUGUAUCAAAAUCUGUGGAGAGAAUUUUUAAGAUCUGGGAAGAGAGAAAUAUUUACCAAGAGGAUUUAAUCACAUCUUUAAAAUCUGGUUUAAGAGAUGGAAAUUCAGGAAAACGAAACAGAAGCUCUCGUCCUAAACCAGAAAAAGUACAAGAAGCUCCUCCUGUAACUCCAAAAGCUGCAUUAAAAUCGAAGAUUGUGGCUGAAUUUAGGCCGCAGAAGCUAAUUGACGAUCUGCAGGGAUAUAAGCGUUCGGUAGAUAAUGCUGAACUUAAGGAAAAACAGCUUUCAAACAUGAGAGUUGACGUCUGCAGCACCGAGACUCUGAAACGUUUAAAAGAUAAAGCUGGAGGAAAAAGGUUCUCUAAAGAUUUUGAAGAAGCAAGUGCAAAGCUGGAGGAGUUUGUAGGUGUCCUCGAAAAGCAGGUGAGGAAUGGGCCUCCUUUAACAGAAGCACUGGAAAAUGCUGGCAUAUUCUAUGAAGCACAGUACAGAGAAGUCAAGGUGGUGGUAAAUGCUUACAAGACAUUUGCUAACAGAGUUAACAAUUUAAAGAAAAAGCUGGAUCAGUUGAAAGCUACACUACCAGAUCCUGAGGAAUCUCCAUUGCCAUCUCCCACCAUAGAUGCCCCAUCUCCAACAGGCUCCGAGUCACCAUUCCAAGGGAUGGGUGAUAUAUCCCCUUUGUCACCUGAGAUAGAACCCAUCCCACCUAUAUCGCCAGAGCCUCCAAAGGAUAAUCGCAUGGUAGAGGACAUGGAGUUAUCUGAUGUGGAUGCAGAUGAAGAAGUACCCAAAAUUAUCGUUGAAGAAAGAAAAGAGGCCCAAACUCCAUCUACUUUGGCCACUGUCACAGAUGCUGCAACUACGUCUUCCACAGAAAUGACCAACUUCACUACUGCUGCAUCUAAACCAGCAUCUGUUCCAGCUAGUCUUCCGACGCCUGCUGCAGUCUCUGUUGGCACACCUGUUUCUGCACCAGCUCCUGCUGUUUCAGCACCUGCAAAAACAGUAACCACUCCCACCGUUGCCCCAUCAGUUCCCCUGGCAUUGCCAAAUCUUGCCAAUGUAGAUCUGGGGAAGAUUAGUUCCAUCUUAAGUAGCUUAACUUCUGUUAUGAAGACAACAGUGAGCCCAGCAGCCAAACCAUCUCCUGGAACACCAACAACACCAACUUCCAGUUCUGGACUGAAGAACCCUGUGCAGAUCCCGCAAAAUCCUUUGGCUAAUAUUUUGUCUAAAGUUGAGAUAACACCAGAAAGUAUACUUUCUGUGCUGUCCAAAUCUCAAGGUCCUUCCACAUCAUCAUUGCAAGGUUUGUCAUCUUUGAUUCAAAGUGUGGCUGGAAGCACUGCUCAGUCAAGUGGAGCCUUGCCUCACAGCACUACAACAGCACCAAUCAACAGUACUGUUUCAAUUAUGAAAGAUCGUAAUGCUCCAUCUGUUACUCCUCCUUUUGUGUCUAAAAAUGUCGAUUUCUCUCCUACUCCCACAAAUUCAGAAAUUUCUUCUGUGUCUCUGUCCAAGACAUCUGCAGGGCAUAGUUCAAAUUUAAAGCAGCCAUCUAAUGUUCAAGGAUUAGCAACACAAACCCCUUUAUCGACCGAUAAAAGCACAAGUCAGCCAACUGAAAUACCUAAGCCUGCUAGCGAGGCUGAAUCGUCUAGUCUGGAACUGAAGAUUCACAAUUUUUUAAAGGGUAAUCCAGGCUUUAGUGGACUGGAUCUGAACAUCCCCAUUCUUAGUGGCUUGAGUUCCAAUACAGUUUCUGAACCCACCUCUGAAUUUCAGCGUGGUCCUUCCAGCACUACCAUUGAUAAUGUAGAUGGAACUCCAGUUCGCGAUGAAAGAAGUGGAACUCCAACGCAGGAUGAGAUGAUGGAUAAACCAGCUGCAAGCAGUGUUGAUACUGUUUCCUUGUUAUCAAAAAUAAUAAGUCCAGGCUCAUCUACCCCUAGUAGCACAAGAUCCCCCCUUCUGAAUAAGGAUACAGACUUUCAAAAGCUAGGCAAUAUGCCACCUUAUCGAUCAUUUGGUGUUGGAGGAAACUCACCAAAUGCAUAUUUGCAGCCACCAGAUAGUCGAGGUAAUCCUGCAUUUAUUGAUUCUUCUCUGGAAAAAUUUUAUCCUGAUGUUUCUUUUCAAGAGGAUGAAGACUAUCGUGACUUUGAAUAUUCCGGACCCCCACCAUCUACAAUAGGUAAUCUUGACAAAAGACCCUCAAAAUCCAUCUUAACACCUAUAUUCAGUCAGUCCCAAGAUUUCGGCAGGCAGUCCUUUCCUGCCUUACGAUCUACUUUCAACACUAGUGAAAGCAAUGCUCAAUUGUCCCCAUCUACUCAACUUUAUGAAACAUAUAACAGCUUAAGUAAACUUGAGGCUCCGAAAUCUCCAUCAACCCCAAAGAAUGACCAAUUUUUCCCCUCUGACAGUCAUAAUUUGCAUUCUGGCAUAUCACAAACUCAAUUUGCAGAUUCUCCCCAUACUCUUCAAAAUAGAUCCCAUGCUUUUACAAAUAAGAAUACUAUUCCUCCUUCAAUUUGUAGAGCACCAAUGACAAAUAUGGAGCAAACAGACACUGAUGUGUCUGCUACUUCAACAAUGGAAUUUAAAAACAUGCUUAAAAAUGCAUCUCGCAGGCCUUCUGAUGAGAACAAAUUUGGCCACUCGGGCAAAAGCAAUUUUAAUGAAGAUGUGAGCAUUUCCAGCCUUGGUCAUACUGGUAUGACUUCUGAAGAGAGACAGCUAAAGGAGGAGCAUUAUCACAUAGAAACAAGGGUGUCCUCUUGUGUUGACUUACCUGACAGUGCAGAAGAAAAAGGUGCUCCAAUUGAGACCCUGGGAUAUCAUAAUUCUCGUAACAUGAGGGUUUCAGGGGAACCUAUAAAAACUGUAGAGUCAGUAAGAGUUGGAGUAAAGGGGAACAGAGGACUUGGUAUAGAUGGAGGUAGAGGAGCUUGGUUUAGCAGAGGUAGUCCUUUUAAUGACGGCCCAUCCAGUGCUGCUGCUGAUCCGUCAGUUAGUGGCAGCAGUGGGGUAGGGGGGUUUGAAACACGGUAUGAUGAGCUCUUACCACAGUUUCAGGACACUGUUAGUGACUUUAGAUCAAAAACUAUGCAGGCCUUUGAGCAUCGCUUACCACCGCCUCUGUUACCACCAUCCAUGGUACCUCCUUUAGAUCGAGGAGGACCAUUUCAAAAUGAGCCUGCUGGCCUUCCAUCUGUACCACCACCUGGUUUACCACCUGAUCGGUUUCCUAGAGACAUCCCUGUUCCUCCACAUAUGCCUCCUGUAGAGCCUAUGUUGUCUCGUGGUACUCACCCUCCACCCAAUGAACAUGGAGGCAAUCCCUUCUCUGGACUUCCACAUUCGGAACAUGGAGCAAAUCCUUUUUCUGGACCCCCACCUCCAGAACAUGGAAUAAAUCCUUUUUCUGGGCCUCUUCCUCCUCGAGACCAAAUUGGCAUGCCAUUUUCCUCUCCGCCAUCUUUAGAGAUGCGGAAUCCUUUUUCACCGGACCAUGGAAACAUUCAUCAAGGAACAAUGAAAGAUCAUUAUGGUUUGGGCCCAGGACUACAGAGAGACCUUGGAGCUUUGAUUCAUGAUCACAAUGGCCCAAUGCUUGCUAGAUUAAAUGAAACACCAGCUCCCCAUUCUAGAGACCAUCUUGGAAACUUUAGUGCUCCUCCACAUCAUUUUAAUGCACCACAUCAUAGAGACAGUGGCCUCAGAUCGCAGCGACAACAAUUUAGGCCCAGGGAACAAUAUCAAAGCUUAAAAAGGCCAAGGCCACCUUUUGCACGAGGUCCGCAUUUUUUUGCCCCAAAACGUCCCUUCUACCCCCCAAGGUACUGAUUCAAAAUUGUCAUCAGCCUGCAUUGCUAUUGGUCCACAUUGGCUAUUAUUUGGUCAGGGAGUUUUGUGUUAGUUGAAAAUAGCUUAAACCUGGAAAGCAGACUACACAUUUUUCCUGGUGUAAGGCCACAGAUAUAAAGUCAAUUUACAAAAAAAGGUUGACUUUUUAGUGGAGGAGUUUUUGUAUGUAGGAGACGCUCAUCCUUUUGCCCACUAUACCAUUCUGAUGUCAACUCCAUCAAGCAGUCAACAGUUGGGUGAAUAUGGCAGUUGUCCUGAAGUGAAAUCUGACGCCUAAAUUCAUGUCUGAGACACAGUAUGGAGCCAGUGAACUGUUUCAUCUGCUCAGUUCUCAACACCUCUGAAGCCUAUCCUGAAUCAACCCUUUGCUUUCUUAUAUCCAGAUAGGUCUGCCCUGGAAGCCAAAGGCCUGCAGUUCUGACUGAUUUCCAGUUGCUGUUAAGAGUGACCUAUGCUUUACUGAACUAUUAUAGGAAAAGGAAUGGAACAUCCCCAUUCCAUACAGAAUCCUGAAAUGGACUGGAUAAUGUAAAGAAUUUUUUAUUGUUUUCCCAAAUAUUUAAAGAAAUAUUAAAUUUAAAUAUCCUUUAAUUUGUUGGUAAACUCAUCCGUCAUGAUAUACAGGUUUGUGUGCAAUAUAAUGAAAACAUAUUGACCCAGUUUGAAUUGUCUGUGGGCACUAAACUGAACACGGAGAAAAAGCAAGAAAAGCAGAGUAGAGGUUACAAGUCCAUCUAUAGAGACCUACAUUUUUCCAUUGUCCACCAUACACAAGUUAGGAAGAAUUUUGAGGCAGAUGGCUCUGUAGCCAGUCUCCGUGGAUGUGGAUUCAUCAGAAAAUUGUUCAAGCAUUGCAGAGGAAGAUUGGGAAACCCAACUGCUGAAAAGAAAGCCCAACAUAAGUUUACCAAAAUUCUUUUGGAAGAAUGUUUGGUAAACUUUUUGAAACAUACACAAUCCCUUUGAGUCAAAAAUGUUUCUGGGUUGCUUUGCUUCCUCUUAAACAGUGUGCCCUGUGACUUCUGAAAUAAGGCAUUUUUAAACAUAAUGUUAAAAGCUGGAUCUCCAUCACAGAUCAUGAGUCUUCUAGCUCAAGCACAAUUAAAAAAGCAGCCAAGUAGUGUUAAAGAAAAAAGGCUAAGACUGUAUUGAAGUGCCACCUGCAAGGGCAAAUCUAAAUCCCAUGAAGAGCUCUGCAAACUGCAGUUGGGAAUUCCUGUAAAAAGGAAUCCUGGCUAUAUCUCCUUCAAACUUGAAUUUGCCUAUAUUUUUGGCCACGAUUGUACCAGCAAUAAUAGUGCAGAGCAACUGUGUUAUAUUUUCAUACGCUGCAAUUAUCAGUCUUCCUGCACUUAAAAUUAUUUCAUACAGACUCUGCAAUUCUCA